rnacentral:rRNA from 1 species
AAAUUGAAGAGUUUGAUCAUGGCUCAGAUUGAACGCUGGCGGCAGGCCUAACACAUGCAAGUCGAACGGUAACAGGAAGCAGCUUGCUGCUUUGCUGACGAGUGGCGGACGGGUGAGUAAUGUCUGGGAAACUGCCUGAUGGAGGGGGAUAACUACUGGAAACGGUGGCUAAUACCGCAUAACGUCGCAAGACCAAAGAGGGGGACCUUCGGGCCUCUUGCCAUCAGAUGUGCCCAGAUGGGAUUAGCUUGUUGGUGAGGUAACGGCUCACCAAGGCGACGAUCCCUAGCUGGUCUGAGAGGAUGACCAGCCACACUGGAACUGAGACACGGUCCAGACUCCUACGGGAGGCAGCAGUGGGGAAUAUUGCACAAUGGGCGCAAGCCUGAUGCAGCCAUGCCGCGUGUAUGAAGAAGGCCUUCGGGUUGUAAAGUACUUUCAGCGGGGAGGAAGGUGUUGCGGUUAAUAACCGCAGCAAUUGACGUUACCCGCAGAA